rnacentral:tRNA from 1 species
UGCCCGAUGGUGUAAUGGCAGCACACCACUCUUUGGAAGUGGUUGUGGAGGUUCGAAUCCUCCUCGGGCAACGA